AGGACGAACGCUGGCGGCGUGCUUAACACAUGCAAGUGGAGCGACGAACCGGGGCUUGCCCCGGGGCAGAGCCGCGAACGGGUGAGUAACACGUGGGUAACCCACCCCGAUGAUUGGGACAACCCCGGGAAACCGGGGCUAAUACCAAAUGUGCCCUUGGUCCAUGAGGACCUCGAGUAAAGAUAGCUUCGGCCUUCGCAUCGGGACGGGCCCGCGGCCCAUUAGCUUGUUGGCGAGGUAACGGCUCACCAAGGCGACGAUGGGUAGCUGGUCUGAGAGGACGAUCAGCCACACUGGGACUGAGACACGGCCCAGACUCCUACGGGAGGCAGCAGUGGGGAAUCUUGCACAAUGCGCGAAAGCGUGAUGCAGCAACGCCGGCGGUAGGGGAAGAAGGCCUUCGGGUUCGUUAAACCCCGUUUCAGUUGGACGAAGCUCAGCGUGAAGUAGCCGAGUGGAGUGACGGUACCUCACGAAGACGCCCGGCUAACGUACGUCGCCAGCAGCCGAC
rnacentral:rRNA from 1 species